CGGCGUUGCUAGGAAACGGGAGUGGGGCCUGCGGGGACGCGGCUGGAGCCUGCGCAUUUCUUCCUUCCUGCUUUCAAAGUUGCAAUGAGCGCAGAGCGGUGCGCCCGAGGGGGUUGAAGCGUUGAAAGUGUGUUACCCAGAUUUUAUCUGAGUUAAACACGGGCCGGCCGCUGUGGCUCACGUCUGUACUCCCAGAGCCUUGGGAGGUCGAGGCGGGAAGAUCGCUUGAGCCCGGGAGCUCGAGACCAGACGCGGCAACAUGGCGAGACGCACAUCUCUGCCUUUAAAAAUGAGAGGCUGGCGGUUACCUUUCUUGGGGAGACGCGUCCGACUGCUUCAUUGUGGGGGCCUCAGGAGCGGAGGAUCGGGUCCCGCCCGAGGUGACGCGUAAACCCAGACUCUCAGCAACGCGGGUAGGAAGGACCCUUGAAGUUCCGCGGCGACCACGUCGGCUGAAACCAGCAGCCCAGGACAAGUGGACCAGCCAGCAAGACCCAGACCAUCCAAACCGGCUGAUCCUACGACAGGACCCAGAUGCCAGUGAAAGUGACCACAGCCCUGCUCUAGUCACCCCGGAAGCUGACCAGUCUACGCACGGCCGAAGCUUCGUCAAGGAAGUAAAUGUAGUUAGAAAUCUUAAGCCCAGUAAUUUUCCUUGUCAUCUUAAUUGUUUUACUAUUAACCUGUCGCUUUGCUCAACCCCCUCCUCUGGGCAAACAUCUCUUGUCCAUCCUAGGUACAAACAUGCUACUCUUCCCUUUGUUCUUGCUGCUCUCGCUAGAUCUAUGUCAGAAGGAGGGAUAUGCGGAGAGUUUAAUUUAACUAAUUGUUGCCUAAAAAUCGAUGACAAUGAGGAGGACGUCAUGAAUUAAUUGCGAGAAUGCGAGACUUAGCUCAUGUUCCAACACAAACCUGGAAACCGGAAUGGUCUCCAGGUUCCCCCCGCCCCCCCGUGGUUGGUUUUCAUCCCUCGGGGGAUUUAAAACCUUACUAGGAGUAGUUCUGGCCAUACUGGGAGUCCGCCUCGUACUCUUGUCUCUUCCCCUCCUUGUCAAGAAUAUCGACAAAGCCAGAGACGCUCGUGUGGACAGGCCGAGUACCACCGAGCUCAUCCCAUAACUACGUGUCCACCCCUGCCAGGAAAAGAGCUACUUCCCCCUGUAGAAGUAAAUAAAAAAUAGUGAUGCUUUCUAUUAAACCUUAUUUAUAAAAAGCAUCAAGGAGGGAAUAAAGCGGAAAUUGAAGAAACGGAAAAUACCUUUUUCGUAUAAAGCUGACUCGCCCCAAAGCCAGCAACAGGCAAAGCCCCCAGGCAAGGCCUUGAAAACACCAUUUAAAAAGCCAGAACCCCAAGGAAUGCCGCCCAGACGCCUCCCAGCACUGCACUCCCCCCGUGCAAAGAUAAGAACCAGACUCCUCCUUCCGUUUCCCGCUCCCCGUAAAAUACUCUGCCAGUUUUGUAAGCUCCUGUUCUUUCUCAAUGCGGCCGCAAGCUCACAAGCUCGGCUGAGGUUACGAAACCUGUCACUGUACGAUUAACUGCCUCUGUCCUGCGUCUGUAAAUUCACUUUCCCGCACUGCAAGUUUCACGCCGCUGCACGCUUCAAAGUCAAGCCCUUUGUUC
rnacentral:lncRNA from 1 species